rnacentral:rRNA from 1 species
UAGCGUAUAUUAAAGUUGUUGCGGUUAAAAAGCUCGUAGUUGGAUUUCUGUUGAGGGCGGCCGGUCCGCACUACGUGCGUGUAUCUGGUCUGGCCUCGGCAUCCUCUCGGAAAACGCUACUGUGCUUGAUUGCAUGGUGUGGGGUUCGGGACUUUUACUUUGAGGAAAUUAGAGUGUUCACGGCAGGCAAUCGCCCUGAAUAUAUUAGCAUGGAAUAAUAAUAUAGGAUCUGUUGCCUAUUUUGUUGGUUUCUAGGCGGUAGAUAAUGAUUAAGAGGGACAGUUGGGGGCAUUCGUAUUAUGGCGUC